GACGAACGCUGGCGGCGUGCUUAACACAUGCAAGUCGAACGGAAAGGCCCUGCUUUUGUGGGGUGCUCGAGUGGCGAACGGGUGAGUAACACGUGAGUAACCUGCCCUUGACUUUGGGAUAACUUCAGGAAACUGGGGCUAAUCCCGGAUAGGAGCUCCUGCUGCAUGGUGGGGGUUGGAACGUUUCGGCGGUUGGGGAUGGACUAGCGGCUUAUCAGCUUGUUGGUGGGGUAGUGGAUUACCAAGGCUUUGACGGGUAGCCGGCCUGAGAGGGUGACCGGCCACAUGGGGACUGAGAGACGGCCCAGACUCCUACGGUAGGCAGCAGUGGGGAAUAUUGCACAAUGGGCGGAAGCCGGAUGCAGCAACGCCGCGUUCGGGAUGACGGCCUUCGGGUUGUAAACCGCUUUCGCCUGUGACGAAGCGGGAGUGACGGUAAUGGGUAAAGAAGCACCGGCUAACUACGUG
rnacentral:rRNA from 1 species